UAGCUGUCUGAUCAUCCUUUCUCCUGACCUAGUCACUGCCUCCCCCCUUCUUCCCCUGCCCCCACAGCUAUUUAAAGCUUCCAGCAAUGUCUUCAAGCCCCUAUCCAUACCUCCCCCUUUAGGACACUACACCCCUAGCUCCAGCCAGCUGUUGGGCAUCUAUCCUGCUGACCAUAAGGGGAAAGAGUCUAGACUCAGGAGCUGAAUUGGUGAUUACUGAUCCAUUACCAGCAUCAGGAAGCCAACUGUGCUCCCUCUUCUCUCAUCACCUCUGACAGCUAUUUCCCCUUCUUUCUGAAUGAAAAAUCGCCCUUCUCCAGAUACCCUCCCUUACCCUUGGGAGGAGAGGACCACACCAGGAACUCUGCACACAGCAGCCUGUGCGGGCGCCUUGCACUGACCCAUACCCGGCCAUUGGUGAGAUUAGUGACAGCAGAGAGGGGAACGGGAGUCGGGCUUUGCACUGUUGUUGGCCUCAGGCAUGCAUCCCCUCCCCCUUCCUGCUGCCCGUGCCUGGGGUUGACGAUAGAAGCCUGGAACAGACUCAACCUCCCGGUUCUAGCUCACCCGGUGUUCAGAUGUCCGCUCUGACAUUUGUUCUCUCCUUUGUCCGCUGUCAGACUGUCUCUUGGUGCCCAGGUCAGCCUUCCACUUGCAGUUUGCUUGUUUGCUUGUUGGAAUACAUUUUUUAGUUUAGACUAGUUUUAGGUUUACAGACAAGUUGUAAAGACAGCACAGAGAGUUCCCACAUACCCCACCCCCAGUUUCCUGCAUUGUUAACAUCUCAUAUUUGUAUGGUAUAUUUGUCAUAACGAAUGAACCAAUAGUAAUGCAUUAUUAUUAACUAGAGCCCAUACUUUAUUCAGAUUCCCUCAGUUUUUGCCUAAUCCAGCUGGAGUUCUGAUUCAUUUCUCUCCUUCCUUUUCUCCUGAACUUGCGUUGGCCUGGGCAUGAUGCCCUCUGCCUGAGGCCCCUCCCGUCCACCACCCCUGCACCCAGUUCUCUCUGCCUCAGCCCUACCCCUGGCAAUGGCAGCACUAGCAGGUUUGGCAGAAUCUAGAUCUGAACCCAGUUCUGGUUGAGGCCAAAGCCCAGGUUUUUCCCAAUACUUCUAGACAGAAUUUUUGGGAACCAAAGUGCCAGGAGUUAAUUGUGGAUGUUGCUCUUCUCCCAGUUCCUGUUUGGUUGGGGAUUCCAUGCCAGGCCUCGACUGACUUUUCACCUCUCUGGGUCAACUGAAAAUGAUUCCCACCCUUGUCACAGAUGAAUUCAUCUGUGAUUCCCCUCCUGCAGAUUCAAAGAUUCAGUCUUUUCCACUGCACACAUCUCUUCUCCCCUGCUCCCAGCCAGCCAAAAAUUUUUGACACAUUUUGGAGAACAAACUUGAAAUCAACGCAGUGAAAUUAAAGUAUGUCGAUGGAACCGUCUACACUUUGCAGAGCAAGAGAGAACAAUUUGAAUAACGGGUCAUUCUGUCCACUAGUUUACUCAAAGAAUGAACAUGAGAUGGAAGCCAUGAAUCGUCUUAUUUCCUCAGGGGAAAUCUACUUCCUCUAUUGUUGCUUUCAAUUCAAAUAUCUCUCCCUUCUUGCCAAGUGAUACUAGUGUCUAGGGUAUGUAUUUUUCACACAGUGUGGCCCCUACAUGCAAGUAAACUACCCCAUCAGGGUUCACCCCCAGAAACAGUGACCUCGCUGGGUAGGAUUUAGUGCUGAGCUUCCAAUAUGUUGCUGUCUAAAUUAUUUUCAAGGGUGAUAUGACUCUUGGUGAUUUCCUCUUACUGCCUGUUUUUAGAAGCCACCCCCUCCAGAGGGUGCAGUUUCACCUCACAUCUGUUUACAACAUUUAGGAUGUUUUCAAUUUCCCAGUAAGAACGAAGAUGCUGAGAUGAACAUCCUUGUCCAUGACACACUGACACUCUUGUCCAGUCAUUUCUUUAGGAUAGAUUUCUAGAAAUGGAUGUGAUGGUUAAUUUUAUAUGUCAACAUGACUGGGCCCUGGGGUGAUCAGAUACUUGGUUAAACAUGAUUUCUGGGUAUGUCUGUGAGUGUGUUUCUGAAUGAGAUUCACAUUUGAAUUGGUGGACUGAGUAAAGCAGAUUGCCCCCCACCCCCCAUGUGGGUGGGCCUCAUCCAAUCUAUUGAGGGGGAAGGGAGAAUUUGCUCUAUGCCUGACUGUUGGGUUGGAACAUGGGUUUUCUGCCCUUGGAUUAGGACUUAUACCACUGGCUCUCCUGGGUCCCCACUUUACAGACAACAGAUUGUGAGACUUAGCCUCUAGAAUCAUAUGAGCCAAUUCCUUAUAAUAAA